AGUUUCUUUUCAUGAAUUUUGAGGAACAGAAACCUCUCUUCCCCUCUUUCUCCAGAGUGCAUGCACACCCUUUUCACUUGAUUUCUAUUUUGAUUGAAGUAAUAAUCAGAGCGUCUAAUAGAAGGGAGACAGAAAGGGACAGAUAUUAGCAUUUAACACCAUACAUUAUAUACCUUUUAUCAAGAUUGCGAUUAUGGACAUUGCAGAGGACAUCUAUACCAACAUAGAGGAAGUCAGUUUUAAAGGCUGUGAUGAUCUGACUGCAGGUUACGCAACUUUACACAUGGGUCUGCAGGAUGGAACUAGACUGAAGAGUGGGAAUGAAAAUUCUCAGCCUUUCAGACUGGUUACUGUGUCUCUGGGACUGCUGUGUGUUCUCCUACUGGCCACAGUCAUAAACCUGUCUGUGCACUGUGAGUAUUCAACUCGCAAAUGGGUGGGUUGA
rnacentral:lncRNA from 1 species